rnacentral:siRNA from 1 species
GAUUGAAUAUGCAGAAACAUGGU